rnacentral:rRNA from 1 species
GAUGAACGCUGACAGAAUGCUUAACACAUGCAAGUCUACUUGAUCCUUCGGGUGAAGGUGGCGGACGGGUGAGUAACGCGUAAAGAACUUGCCUUACAGACUGGGACAACAUUUGGAAACGAAUGCUAAUACCGGAUAUUAUGACUGAGUCGCAUGAUUUAGUUAUGAAGGCUAUAUGCGCUGUGAGAGAGCUUUGCGUCCCAUUAGUUAGUUGGUGAGGUAACGGCUCACCAAGACGAUGAUGGGUAGCCGGCCUGAGAGGGUGAACGGCCACAAGGGGACUGAGACACGGCCCUUACUCCUACGGGAGGCAGCAGUGGGGAAUAUUGGACAAUGGACCAAAAGUCUGACCCAGCAAUUCUGUGUGCACGAUGAAGUUUUUCGGAAUGUAAAGUGCUUUCAGUUGGGAAGAAGUUAGUGACGGUACCAACAGAAGAAGCGACGGCUAAAUACGUGCCAGCAGCCGCGGUAAUACGUAUGUCGCAAGCGUUAUCCGGAUUUAUUGGGCGUAAAGCGCGUCUAGGCGGUUUAGUAAGUCUGAUGUGAAAAUGCGGGGCUCAACCCCGUAUUGCGUUGGAAACUGCUAAACUAGAGUACUGGAGAGGUAGGCGGAACUACAAGUGUAGAGGUGAAAUUCGUAGAUAUUUGUAGGAAUGCCGAUGGGGAAGCCAGCCUACUGGACAGAUACUGACGCUAAAGCGCGAAAGCGUGGGUAGCAAACAGG